rnacentral:rRNA from 1 species
CCUACGGGUGGCAGCAGUGGGGAAUAUUGGGCAAUGGAGGCAAGUCUGACCCAGCAACGCCGCGUGAAUGAAGAAGGCCUUCGGGUUGUAAACUUCUUUUCUAAGGGACGAAACAAAUGACGGUACCUUACGAAUAAGCCACGGCUAACUACGUGCCAGCAGCCGCGGUAAUACGUAGGUGGCAAGCGUUAUCCGGAUUGACUGGGUGUAAAGGGCGUGUAGGUGGGUUAGCAAGUCAGUUGUGAAACUCCAGGGCUCAACGCUGGAACUGCAUCUGAAACUGUUUGACUUGAGUGCAGGAGAGGCAAGCGGAAUUCCGAGUGUAGCGGUGAAAUGCGUAGAUAUUAGGAGGAACACCAGUGGCGAAGGCGGACUGCUGGACUUUAACUGACGCUGAGGCGCGAAAGCGUGGGGAGCAAACAGGAUUAGAUACCCGGGUAGUC